GACGAACGCUGGCGGCGUGCUUAACACAUGCAAGUCGAACGGUAAGGCCUUCGGGUACACGAGUGGCGAACGGGUGAGUAACACGUGGGUGAUCUGCCCCCUACUCUGGGAUAAGCCUGGGAAACUGGGUCUAAUACUGGAUAUGACCUCCUUCUGCAUGGUUGGUGGUGGAAAGUUUUUCGGUAGGGGAUGAGCCCGCGGCCUAUCAGCUUGUUGGUGGGGUAAUGGCCUACCAAGGCGACGACGGGUAGCCGGCCUGAGAGGGCGCCCGGCCACACUGGGAAUGAGACACGGCCCAGACUCCUACGGGAGGCAGCAGUGGGGAAUAUUGCACAAUGGGCGAAAGCCUGAUGCAGCGACGCCGCGUGGGGGAUGACGGCCUUCGGGUUGUAAACCCCUUUCAGUCGGGACGAAGCGAGAGUGACGGUACCGAUAGAAGAAGCACCGGCCAACUACGUGCCAGCCGCCGCGGUAAUAC
rnacentral:rRNA from 1 species